CCUACGGGGGGCUGCAGUGGGGAAUAUUGGACAAUGGGGGGAACCCUGAUCCAGCCAUGCCGCGUGUGUGAAGAAGGCCCUCGGGUUGUAAAGCACUUUCAGUGAGGAAGAACGCCUGGUGGUUAAUACCCAUCAGGAAAGACAUCACUCACAGAAGAAGCACCGGCUAACUCCGUGCCAGCAGCCGCGGUAAUACGGAGGGUGCGAGCGUUAAUCGGAAUUACUGGGCGUAAAGCGCGCGUAGGUGGCUUGAUAAGCCGGUUGUGAAAGCCCCGGGCUCAACCUGGGAACGGCAUCCGGAACUGUCAAGCUAGAGUGCAGCAGAGGAAGGUAGAAUUCCCGGUGUAGCGGUGAAAUGCGUAGAGAUCGGGAGGAAUACCAGUGGCGAAGGCGGCCUUCUGGACUGACACUGACACUGAGGUGCGAAAGCGUGGGUAGCAAACAGGAUUAGAUACCCUUGUAGUC
rnacentral:rRNA from 1 species